UGAAACCUAUAAUAAAAUAUACCAUACUAUAUACCCUAUUAUACUUAUAAAGUUAAUAAUCUGUAAAGUAAUUUGUAAAAAUUUUUUAAUUGUAAAAUUGCUACACGAGAAGACAAGUUGUUAGAUGAAAUUCAAAUAUUCUCUAUGUUUGUGUUGUGUAAGUCAAAAAACAAUAAACAAAGAUGAUAUUGAUUGUGAUGACCAUAAGAUUUAUUUUAAGACACAUCAAUCUUCAUCAUCUGUAAAUAAAAAGGAUAAACAUUAUGGUUUUCCAUUAUCUCAAGCAAACUUUCAAUAUUAUGUGUUGCUUCUCUUAAAUGAGAUAAAAACCCAAGGAUGCAAAAAACUUAAUAUAAAAUAGUGUGAAGAAGAAGUAGUAACUAAAAUGAACAGCAUAAUAGAAUUUGAUAAGUUUGACUCAGUACUUGACAAUGUUUCAUCUAGUAACUCGUAGUAUCUUUGCAGUUGUAAAUUGCUAAAAACAAAGAGUUCAAAAUAUCAGUGGUAAGAACUGUCAAAAACUUGUAAUAGCUGUGAUGAAGAGUUUUAUGACAAAUUCGCUCAUGGCCAAAUCUAAUAUGGCAGCUGGAAAAGGCAAAGGAUCUUUUUAGCCUAACCAAGCUACACAACUUAA